rnacentral:rRNA from 1 species
GACGAACGCUGGCGGCGUGCCUAACACAUGCAAGUCAGGGAUUGAAGGGUAGCAAUACUUUUCAAGACCGGCGCACGGGUGAGUAACACGUAGGUAAUCUACCCUUAGGCGGGGAACAACCCCGAGAAAUCGGGGCUAAUACCGCAUAAUGCAACGAGACCACAUGAUUUUGUUGUUAAAGAUCCGCAAGGAUCACCAGAGGAUGAACCUGCGUCCGAUUAGCUAGUUGGCGGAGUAANACGCCCACCAAGGCGACGAUCGGUAGCCGACCUGAGAGGGUGAUCGGCCAC